rnacentral:lncRNA from 1 species
ACCUCCCGAGCUGGCUUGCAGUAAUAAAUGGAACCUGCUUCAGGUGCAGAAAGCUGGGAGGGGUCGAGGGGAGGAAUGCACAGGCUGAUUUACACCUGUCCCUACAGCUGCUAUCGACAACACUUACAGCCUCCAGAAAUGACCCUUGGUGCCGACUUGUCUGGAAGCCAUCAGGGUUAGUUUUGAAGCAGGAAUCUUCAAGUGGACCAGAGGACAGGGUCUCUCUUUGUUGCCUAGGCUGGAGUGCAGUGGAACGAACUUGGCUUAUUGAAGCAUUGACCACCUGGACCCAAGUGAUUCUCCUACCUUAGCCUCUUGAAUAGCUGUGACAACAGGUGUGCACUACCACACCCAGAUAAAUUUUGUAAUUUUUAUAGAGAGGGCAUUUGACCAUGUUGCCCAGGCUGGUCUCAAACUCCUGAGCUCAAGUGAUACUCCUGCCUCGGCCUCCCAAAGUGCUGGGAUUACAGAUGAAGAAAAUGAGGCACUGAGAGAUUACAUAACUUCCCUUGAGUCAUAUUUGCUUGUAAGUGGUAAGGCUGGAUGUUGAACCCAGGACAAAGGGAGCCCAGUGGAGGAUCCCUGGAGGAGCAAAUAGAAGAAACCCAAAAGGGACUUGAAAGCGGGUCCCCUCCCUCACCUGGAUUCCCAGUCCGAAGAGGAGGAAGCAUCCGCCCUCCUUCCCUCCUUCUGACCCACCCAGCCACCCACCCAAGGUGCCAUUAAAGUUAAUUGU